UACGGGGGGGGCAAGCGUUGUUCGGAAUUACUGGGCGUAAAGGGCUCGUAGGUGGCCAACUAAGUCAGACGUGAAAUCCCUCGGCUUAACCGGGGAACUGCGUCUGAUACUGGAUGGCUUGAGGUUGGGAGAGGGAUGCGGAAUUCCAGGUGUAGCGGUGAAAUGCGCAGAUAUCAGGAGGAACACCGAUGGCGAAGGCAGGUCUCUGGGCCAUAACUGACGCUGAGAAGCGAAAGCAUGGGGAGCGAACAGG
rnacentral:rRNA from 1 species